rnacentral:rRNA from 1 species
CAAUAGCGUAUAUUUAAGUUGUUGCAGUUAAAAAGCUCGUAGUUGGAUUUCUGGUAGGAGUGACCGUUCCGAACUUGAUUGUUCGUGUAUUGUGUUUUCUCCAGCCAUCCUUGUGGAGAACUUUUCUUGCAUUAAUUUGUAGGGAUUGGGACCCGCAUCGUUUACUGUGAAAAAAUUAGAGUGUUUAAAGCAGGCAAUCGCUUGAAUACAUUAGCAUGGAAUAAUAAGAUAGGACUUUGGUACUAUUUUGUUGGUUUGCAUACCAAAUUAAUGAUCAACAGGAACAGUUUGAGGAUAUUCGUAUGAACAUGUCAGAGGUGAAAUUCUUGGAUUUUGAUCAGACGAACUACUGCGAAAGCAUUUAUCAAGGAUGUUUUCAUUAA